rnacentral:ncRNA from 2 species
CAGAUGAUGACGGGGAGCUUGCGUAGGAAGCAGGCUGAGAGUAAGCUGGAGGCUUUGACCCGAGACCUGAUUUGGGUAAUGCCAACGUAGGGAAGGAAGAGAAAUUGUUU